CCUGCUCCUGCUCCUCCUUCUUCUUCUUCAUUCCUCUCGUGACUCUCCUUCGCCACCCCUUCCUGCCUUCCUUCCCUUCCCCAUGCCAUGCCUGCAAUCUAACGAACGCACCACUGCCAUCUCCACCACCACCACCACCUCACUUGCAUUCACUGGAACCUACCUACCUACCUACCUGCCCCCCUUCCCUCCCUCGCCUUACGUUUCUCUGCCUGCCUGCCUGCCUCCCUCCCAGCUAUGUAUGUAUGUAUGUAUGCUCUUCUCACCCUUUCUUCUCCUCUCUUGCUCUUGCUCUUUCGAUCUUUGUUUCUGCACAGUGCUCCCUCCGCUCUCUCAUUCCUUCUCAUAUUCCUCGUUUACAUUCCUGUUCACUCCUUUACACUCCUCCACUUGCUUGAUUUCAUGGCGUUCUGGGGAUCUCUUGGCAGCCCCGGAUUAGUAUGAAUUAUUUUCGGAGGAGGACGGCCUGGGAGAUUCUUCAAUUGAAGGCUACGUAGUCAUCCAAACUUCAAUCUAGUGUACAUGUCAAUUAAACCUAACAGUAACGUUGGUUGGCUUCUUUGGAACUGAAAAGAGUUCCUUGCGUUCAGAUUGAGAGUGGUUUGCAUUUCUAUAAUCGAUGGUUUAAGCCAAGUCUUUCGUGAGGCGCCUUUAGUGACAUAAGGCACUGUUGGCAGAAACUUGAAAAACAAGCAUCUUCAGAGGCGUAUUAUUCAGUAAUCGUCCACUUUGACGAGAUUACAUUCCGUUUUAUUUUUCUGCUUUCCGAUUGCCUCACGAUCCGGCCAAUGCCACUACCUACAGACUUUUGACGAUGUUAUGACAUGUCUCCGACGUUUCAGAGCAUCUACAUACACCAAUUCGGCAUAUUCUAGGCCUGCAAUUCUCUGCCAGUAAAUAUCUGUUGGGAUUUUGAAUUUUUGUUUGUAGGGAUGGCUUUGAAGGUACGAUUUCUGCAACCCUGUGGAACAUGCACCGGACAUAUUUUUCCUGAGCAGAACGUGUUGUAUGCCGCUUCACCUUUACACUGUGAAAGUAUUCCUUUGAUGUGCUUUUCUAGAAUCCAAAACACGUUGAGAGGGUGAAGCUAUAAUUAUAGUUAAAUCUCCUUGUUUCGCUUAACUAGCCGGUGUGGAUGACCAUUCCGCUAAACAAUACCACCAGAAAAUGGAGUGUUUGUGUUACAAUACAGAAUUUUCCUUUCAUGCAUUGUAGCUAAUCGAUUGAUUGUUACCUUUUGUUCAAUGAACGUGAGGAAUAGGAGAUAAUGUAGCCGGCACAUGUGCGGGUGAUGUUCAAUUUUUUUUGAGCUGAAUUUCAAGUUAAAUAUACUUAGUGUGCCGUUUUGUUGAUUUCCAAGAAUAAACCCAUUUCCAAGGCAUUCUG